AUCCAGUUGCCGAGUCCCAAACAGAACGAAACACAUGUCCUGGAA
rnacentral:hammerhead_ribozyme from 1 species